UAGGGAAUCUUCCACAAUGGACGAAAGUCUGAUGGAGCAAUGCCGCGUGAGUGAAGAAGGUUUUCGGAUCGUAAAACUCUGUUGUGAGGGAAGAACAAGUACGGGAGUAACUGCCCGUACCUUGACGGUACCUCAUUAGAAAGCCACGGCUAACUACGUGCCAGCAGCCGCGGUAAUACGUAGGUGGCAAGCGUUGUCCGGAAUUAUUGGGCGUAAAGCGCGCGCAGGCGGCCUUUUAAGUCUGAUGUGAAAGCCCACGGCUCAACCGUGGAAGGUCAUUGGAAACUGAAGGGCUUGAGUACAGAAGAGGAAAGCGGAAUUCCACGUGUAGCGGUGAAAUGCGUAGAGAUGUGGAGGAACACCAGUGGCGAAGGCGGCUUUCUGGUCUGUAACUGACGCUGAGGCGCGAAAGCGUGGGAGCAAACAGGAUUAGAUACCCUGGUAGUCCACGCCGUAAACGAUGAGUGCUAAGUGUUAGGGGGUUUCCGCCCUUAGUGCUGGAGCAAACG
rnacentral:rRNA from 1 species